rnacentral:sRNA from 1 species
UGAUUUGCAGGCGCUCUUAUCCUCCUCCCAAGGUCGCCUGCGGGAACGGCAGCACUCCUCCUCCCAGCUGCUGUUCGGUCUUUCUCGAAAGCCUGCCGCACCUCCUCCCGCGGCAGGCUUUUUCG